rnacentral:lncRNA from 1 species
AUAUGCUCUUUAAAAGCAUAUGUGUUUAUUUAAUUGUAAUAAAUAUUUUUUCUGAUUAAUAAAAAUAAUGAGGUAUUUUAUGCAAAUAUCUUAAUUGCAUUAAUAUUUUUAUUAAAGUCCAUUUAAUCAUAUUAUAUGUAUUUAUGUGAUCACCAUGUGGAUUCACAGAAGACAUAAAUACAAGUUAUCUUAUGAUUAAAUAAAUUUAGUUCGCAGUUAAUAAAUAAAGUUGGGCACUUUAUUUAGGUAUAGACUGUAAUAAAUUCAUUGAAUGAUUUGUCUUAAUCAUGUAUGAAUUUAUUGAUGUAGUACAACUACAUUGAACAUGAUCACAUAUGAGAUUUAAUUAACUUUGUAAUAACUGUCAGACUUAUUAAAUCUCAUAGGCAUUGAUUUUACUGUAAUCUUAAUCUUGAGUUAAUUAUGAUUUCAUGAUUGUAAUUGUUAUUCCAUUUGAGUUACCAAUGGGCAUGACACAUACUUGUAGUCUAGAUUACCCGGUAUCUUGGUGGGAGCAUUUAUGAGUAUUGGAGUUAUAGAUUAACAAUAUAGAAUUUGUACAACACAUCUCUUGAUGGGUUUUCGGCACUUGAUCAUAGAAUUCUCUGGCCAGAGUGUGUCAACAUAUUUAGUAUGUUGAAAAUGAUCAUUGGAGAAAACCAGUAAGUAUCAAGGAAUAAGAUGUUAUUAAAUUGAUUGGACAGUUGAGAUAUCAAUUUAAUUAACGAUGUGGUACAAAGGAUUGUGCAGUAAAGAAAUCAAUGUGGCUUGGGACGAAUUAUUAUUUGAGCAUACAAUUAUGGAAGUCAGUUCCAAUCUUUUAGUGGAGUAGAUUUGGAAUUAAAUAAUUGGGCUAGUUUAAUUAUAGGCCUAAUUAUUGUAGCCACUAUUGUAUGUUCCCAAAUGAUCCCCGGGUUAGUUCAUUUAAUUGACUGCACCACUUCUGGACUAAUAAGCAAGAUAACUAGCUAUUUGGGUCAAAACCCUAAACAUAUCAUUUAGUGGGAGGCUCCAUUUAAUUAGCUUAUGUGUAAGGGGCCUUAUGUUAUUUUACAUGGUGGAUCCCCUAUAAAAUAAAAAGUAACGUGAGUUUUAUUUUGGGGAUUAUUUGGAGCCUAGGAUUUUCACUAAAGGGAGAUAUAAAAAGCUUAUUUUCUCUAAAGAAAAAGAUAACAGCCACUUUAUAAAGAUCAGAGAAAAAGAUUUUUCUCUCUGUUGUUGAGAGAAAAAUUUUCCCGUGCUAGUUGCUUUGGUAGUGAUAAAGGCGCCCACACGUCAAGUGCAGAUCGAACCUGAGUCAUAACCUGGAAGAUCAUUGGUGACAGUUCGUGAUCUAACAAGCGUGGUGGUGACGGAUCGUGAUCUAACAGGAGUGGUGGUGGCGGAUCGUGAUCUAGGAGCCUAAAUCACUUCAAUGGAAAAAGUCCAAUUGG